ensembl:lncRNA
GGGCCUUGAUUUGCACACUGAGCGCCGAGGCGGGGCUUUCUGACUGGGGCUGAGACCAGGGCGGUGCUUACGGACUCAGAGGCCCGGAGACCAGCGGUCCUGCGCCGGUGGCCGUGGCCGCUCCCUCUCCCGGAGUAGCUAUGAGGCAAGUGGGAUCUUAGUUCCACAACCGGGGAUCAAACCUGUGCCCGCUGCACUGGAAGCACAGAAUCUCAACCACUGGACCACCAGAGCUCAAUGCAAGAUAAAAAUAUGGGACUCCUUCAUUCACAAGAUUAAGAAUUUCAGACCAGUGACGGCAGAAGUACAGGCCCCCGCCAUCUGAGCAAGUCUGCGUCUGCUCCUGCAACCUGAAAGCGGCCGUGGGCCACACACAGAUGACGGGAGUGGGCGUGGGACCAGUAAACGUGAUGGACGCUGAAGGUGCACUUUCCCAUGUCACAAAAUGCUAUUCUUUUGGGGUUUUUUUCCAAUCAUUUAGAAAUGUAAACGCUGUAAAUGUAAAUGCUCCCAUGCUUCCAAUGCAGGGGACACGGGUUCCCUGACUGGAGAACUAAGAUCCCAUGUGCCCUGUGGUGCAGUCAAAAAAUUAAAUAAGAUAAAUAAAAUAAAAAUGUAAACAUCAUUUGUAGCUCACAGGCUGUGUAAAAAAAAAGGUGUGGGUGGAAUCAGGCUGCAGUCAGCUAGCUUCUCGUCCGCAGGAUGAAAUCCCAACUUCUCUGCCUGACUCUCUAGAGUCCUUGACAGCCAGAGACAGACACCCUGCCAGUCCCGUCUUAUCGUCUUCUUUCCUUGAGACACCUACUGCUCUGUGAACCCUCCUCACAGGCAAAGCUGCACCUGUGCUCUGGCUGGUCCAUGUGUGAAAGCCCCAUCUCCCCCUCCUGUGGCUGGCAGACCCUGGCUCCUGCUGCCCUCCAGCCCAGUGCUGCCCUCAUGAAAGGUGGUGCUCUGGACCUGGCCCUUGUCACACUGCCUGGGCUUGGUGUCUGCAUGUCCUCUUCUUUCUUGCAGCAGCAAGGUCCUUUCGAGCAGGAACCCAAACGGAGUCAUCCUGAUCACGUGGACCCUGAGAGCA